CGGGUGAGUAACGCGUGAGCAACCUGCCUAUGACAGUGGGAUAGCCUCGGGAAACCGGGAUUAAUACCGCAUAAAAUCGUAGAAACACAUGUUUUAACGGUCAGAGAUUUAUCGGUCAUAGAUGGGCUCGCGUCUGAUUAGCUAGUUGGUGAGAUAACAGCCCACCAAGGCGACGAUCAGUAGCCGGUCUGAGAGGAUGAACGGCCACAUUUGAACUGAGACACGGUCCAA
rnacentral:rRNA from 1 species